GCAAGUCUGGUGCCAGCAGCCGCGGUAAUUCCAGCUCCAAUAGCGUAUAUUAAAGUUGUUGCAGUUAAAAAGCUCGUAGUUGAACCUUGGGUCUGGCUGGCCGGUCCGCCUCACCGCGAGUACUGGUCCGGCUGGACCUUUCCUUCUGGGGAACCUCAUGGCCUUCACUGGCUGUGGGGGGAACCAGGACUUUUACUGUGAAAAAAUUAGAGUGUUCAAAGCAGGCCUUCGCUCGAAUACAUUAGCAUGGAAUAAUAGAAUAGGACGUGCGGUUCUAUUUUGUUGGUUUCUAGGACCGCCGUAAUGAUUAAUAGGGAUAGUCGGGGGCGUCAGUAUUCAGCUGUCAGAGGUGAAAUUCUUGGAUUUGCUGAAGACUAACUACUGCGAAAGCAUUGCCAA
rnacentral:rRNA from 1 species